rnacentral:rRNA from 1 species
AUUGAACGCUGGCGGCAUGCCUUACACAUGCAAGUCGAACGAGUGGCGGACGGGUGAGUAAUGCCUGGGCAACUGCCUGAUGGAGGGGGAUAACUACUCGAAACGGUAGCUAAUACCGCAUAUCAUUGGAUGUGCCCACAUGGGAUUAGCUGGUUGGCGGGGUAAAGGCUCACCUAGGCGGCGAUCCAUAGCUGGUCUGAGAGGAUGACCACCCAAACUGGAGCAGAGGCCAGGUCCAGAACCCUAAGGGAGGCAGCAGUGGGGAAUAUUGGACAAUGGGCGGAAGCCUGAUGCAGCCCUGCCGGGUGGAUGAAGAAGGGCUUCGGGUUGGAAAGGAAUUUUAGCGGGGAAGCGUUACCCGCAGAAGAAGCAACGGCUAACUCCCUGCCAACAGCCGCGGGAAAUC